rnacentral:rRNA from 1 species
UGGGGAAUAUUGCACAAUGGGCGCAAGCCUGAUGCAGCCAUGCCGCGUGUGUGAAGAAGGCCUUCGGGUUGUAAGCACUUUCAGCGAGGAGGAAGGUGGUGAACUUAAUACGUUCAUCAAUUGACGUUACUCGCAGAAGAAGCACCGGCUAACUCCGUGCCAGCAGCCGCGGUAAUACGGAGGGUGCAAGCGUUAAUCGGAAUUACUGGGCGUAAAGCGCACGCAGGCGGUUUGUUAAGUCAGAUGUGAAAUCCCCGGGCUCAACCUGGGAACUGCAUUUGAAACUGGCAAGCUAGAGUCUCGUAGAGGGGGGUAGAAUUCCAGGUGUAGCGGUGAAAUGCGUAGAGAUCUGGAGGAAUACCGGUGGCGAAGGCGGCCCCCUGGACGAAGACUGACGCUCAGGUGCGAAAAGCGUGGGGAGCAAAACAGGAUUAGAUACCCUGGUAGUCCACGCUGUAAACGAUGUCGAUUUGGAGGUUGUGCCCUUGAGGCGUGGCUUCCGGAGCUAACGCGUUAAAUCGACCGCCUGGGGAGUACGGCCGCAAGGUUAAAACUC